AUACGAAGGGUGCAAGCGUUAAUCGGAAUUACUGGGCGUAAAGCGCGCGUAGGUGGUUCGUUAAGUUGGAUGUGAAAGCCCCGGGCUCAACCUGGGAACUGCAUCCAAAACUGGCGAGCUAGAGUAUAGCAGAGGGUGGUGGAAUUUCCUGUGUAGCGGUGAAAUGCGUAGAUAUAGGAAGGAACACCAGUGGCGAAGGCGACCACCUGGGCUAAUACUGACACUGAGUGUCGAAGGCGUAGGGAAAAAACAGAAUUAGAUACCCUGUUAGUCCGCGCCAUAAACGAUGUCGGCUAGCCGUUGGGAUCCUUGAGAUCUUAGUGGCUCAGCUAACGCAUUAAGUGGAACGCCUGGGGAGUACGGCCGCAAGGUUAAAACUCAAAUGAAUUGACGGGG
rnacentral:rRNA from 1 species